UUUAUUUUUUUUCUUUACUUUUCUUUUAAUAAAAAUAUUUUGUUUUUUAGUAUUUUGAAUAAAUAUUAAUUUUUGAUAGCUUAUUUAACUGUGAAGGUUAAUUUAUUUUUAUUUUUAAGUAAUCUUUUUUUGAUGUACCUUUUGCAUCAGGGUUUAUUAAUUUAAAAUAAUUAUUUAUUUUUCUCGAAAACUUGAGUUAAAGGUUGAAAUGUUUUUUAUUGUAAUAUAUUUAUAUAUAAUUUUAAUUUAGAAGUGAUAUGCUUUUCAUUCAUGUUUAUAUCUAGUUUUUUAAUAAUUAAAUUUAAUUUAGUUUAUAUAAGUUUAUUCAAUUUUAAUUGUUUAUUAUUUAUAUAAUAAAAUCAUCUGGGGAUAAGCUUGGUUGAUUUUUUAAAAGUUUAUUUUGACAAAUUUUUCUUAGGAUUGAUAAUUUCCAUUUUUAUUUUUUUAUAAUUAUAUUUUUGUUUAAGAGAUUUUUUAUUUUUUAAUUACUUAUUAAAAUGAUGGCUAUAAUUUCUUUUGUUUUUUAAUAAUGAUAAAAUUAGUAAUUUUUAUAAUUUGAAUUUAGGAACUCGGCAAAAAUAAUUUUCACCUGUUUAACAAAAACAUGGUUUUUAGAUUUUAAUUUAAAAUCAGGCCUGCCCAUUGAUUUAAAAUAUUAAAAGGCUGCGGUAUUUUAACUGUACGAAGGUAGCAUAAUCAUUUGUCUUUUAAUUGGAGGGCUCCGGGGCGCUCAUGCCCGUGUAUAGAAGGAGCAAGAGAAUUACUUAGUAACUC
rnacentral:rRNA from 1 species